AUUUAAACACAAACAGGGUACUGUGACCUAUAGUUAUUUAUUCUACACCAGAGUUGUCUCAUUGACAAUCAAACCAUAUCUGCCUAUUUUUUUUAUGAAGGCAUGAUCUUUUGUUUAGAAAGAAAAAAAUGCUGUCCGCAAUUAGUUUAUUUGUCUUGCUCAUACUGCCUUCUACAAAAGGAGAUCUUUUACAAGAUGCUGUAAAUGAGAUUAGUCAAAAAGCUAACGAAGACUGUAAAAUACAAAUUGAAGAUCGACAGCUCGUCGGAUGUGAUGUGGAUUCAGCUACAGAUACUGUUCCAUCAGGAGCUUUGUGUACCUACAUAAGUGAGGGUAGGAUCCAAUCCGAUAAUCCGGUAGAAACAUUUGUAUGUGACCAGGGAUUUUUUAUCUACUUACAUCACAAAAGUACAGGCUAGUUUUUACC